CGUGGUACAACACUAGUAUUUUUCCUUUUAAUCACAACCCAAAUUCAUCAGAAACAUCAAUAUAACUAUACACACAAACACAAUUUAAUAGGAAUUUAGUGAAUGUAUACUACACGCUGGUAUGUCACAAGACAGUGUAUUAGGGGCUGUCCUAUGCCUGCUCUUCAUUAGCGAUCUACCAGAGAGCAAGGAAAAUACCACGGCAACGCUCGCUAAUGAUACAGCAAUUAUGGUUGGGGAAAGCAAUGCUGAAUCGACCCACAAACCGAACAUCACUAUCUUCCGAAUGUAUAAAUGGACGACAUACUGAUGAAUAAAGCUCAAUAAACAAAAGAAAAUAACAAAUCGGUACGUGUGGACUUCACGCAUCAAAAAUUUAGUAUGUAGCCCACCUCAAAGGUCCUGAAAUCCUGUUCGCCAACUAGGCAAUGUAUCUACCUAAAUCACAAUCAAAGGUUGUUGUUGUUGUUAGUUGCGAAGUCGUGUCCGACCCAUCGCGACCCCAUGUACAAUGCUCCUCCACGCCUUCCUGUCCUCCACCAUCUUCCGGAGUCCGUUUAAGCUCACACCGACUGCUUCAGUGACUCCGUCCAUCCACCUCAUUCUCUGUCGCCCCCUUCUUCUUUUGCCCUCUAUCUUACCCAGCAUUAGGCUCUUCUCCAGUGAGUCAUUUCUUCUCAUUUGGUGGCCAAAGUAUUUAAGUUUCAUUUUCAGGAUUUGGCCUUCUAGAGAGCAGUCAGGGUUGAUCUCCUCCAGGAUUGACCGGUUGAAUCAAAGGUCCUCAAGAACCAUGUGGAUUUACGACUCUGGUAUGUCCGAAAUGAAGACUUCCACUGUGACGUCAAAAUGGAAACAGUUGAGGAAAUCUGUAUAGACUCAUUAAACACCAUCAAAGGCUUAAAGGCUACGUCAACAUAGAAGCAGUCCACCCGUUAGAAAUGGAACAACUGGAGUCAAGCCACAUGAUUUAUUACUGGUGCUGUGAUUAUGGUAAAGGUGUAAAUAACUAAGAACUAAACCAACAGAACUCUAUUAGAUUGUAAUACAAUAAUUCAACAACUUUAUGGAGGAAAAAGAAUAUACAUAAUUUAUUCAAACGCAUAUAAUCAAAAUCUUUUGAAAUGUUCAUAUAAUGAUAUUUUCACGAAUCUCUUAUCUGAAUGCACAAUAAGGCUGUAACAUCAAUAUUCUACGGGCUAAAAGCCAGGACCGCCAUGGAUGCGGUACCGGAUGCACGACCGGAAGUGAGUACACAAUGGUCGUCCUAUCUCCUUCCUCCGGCUGCCGUUUUCUCCCCCAAAAUUGCCUUCUAGCACGAAUAACCGUAAACAGGUCUUUACAACACUGUUUUUUCUCGAUUAGGAAAACAUUAGUUCAACCAAUAUGAAGAUGAAUGGCACAGAGCACAAUUUCCACCUAAAUAGUUCUUUGUGGUUAUCAAUUGAUUUUUGUCAAACAAAAUAAUCUAGGGUUUUUAUUUGAUUUCAUUUUGGAGUUUGUCUUAAGUAAUGAGUAAAGCUGAUUAUUUGAAUAUGA